rnacentral:rRNA from 1 species
AGGACGAACGCUGGCGGCGUGCUUAACACAUGCAAGUCGAGCGGAAAGGCCCUUCGGGGUACUCGAGCGGCGAACGGGUGAGUAACACGUGAGUAAUCUGCCCCUAGCUCUGGGAUAGCUCCGGGAAACCGGGAUUAAUACCAGAUACGACCACUUUAGACAUCUUCUGUGGUGGAAAGAACUUCGGCUAGGGAUGAACUCGCGGCCUAUCAGCUUGUUGGUGAGGUAACGGCUCACCAAGGCGACGACGGGUAGCCGGCCUGAGAGGGCGACCGGCCACACUGGGACUGAGACACGGCCCAGACUCCUACGGGAGGCAGCAGUGGGGAAUAUUGCGCAAUGGGCGAAAGCCUGACGCAGCGACGCCGCGUGGGGGAUGAAGGCCUUCGGGUUGUAACCCCUUUCAGCAGGGACGAGCGAAAGUGACGGUACCUGCAGAAGAAGCGCCGGCUAACUACGCGCCAGCAGCCGC